rnacentral:rRNA from 1 species
UACGUAGGGUGCAAGCGUUAAUCGGAAUUACUGGGCGUAAAGCGUGCGCAGGCGGUGAUGUAAGUCAGGUGUGAAAUCCCCGGGCUUAACCUGGGAACUGCAUUUGUGACUGCAUUGCUGGAGUGCGGCAGAGGGGGAUGGAAUUCCGCGUGUAGCAGUGAAAUGCGUAGAUAUGCGGAGGAACACCGAUGGCGAAGGCAAUCCCCUGGGCCUGCACUGACGCUCAUGCACGAAAGCGUGGGGAGCGAACAGG